AGGGGCGGAUUAAUUGUUAUCUAAAAAAUACUCUUAUCAAAAAAUAUCACAUUAAUAAUUCGACGUCUUAGGAGUGCACACUCAGCUGUCGGCUCUCCAGUAGAUAACCAAAUGCUGUGUUUGUUUUUCCUCAGUUGCUAUAAGUUUCUGGAUACAACUUUUCGUUUGAAAAACUAUAUGUUACAAAACUUUAAUUAUUGUUUGCGACUUGACACAAGCGGUGCAACUAAGCAACCUCCGGAGAAAUAACCUCGGGAGCACGGUGCACUGUAGUGUCUGCCCAAAAUAUGUCCGGUAUCCCGUCCUUUCACUCUCCGAGGUGACCGAGGUCUGAGCAGCUGCAGUCGGGAUGGCGCUGGUUACUGUCCAGCGGUCUCCGACACCGAGCACUACCUCCAGCCCUUGCGUGUCUGAGUCGGGCAGUGGCGAGGAUGACCGUCGCUUCCAUCUCAGGAGCUAUCUCUGCCCACUGCACCACACCAAUGAAGGAUAACUGCUGCAGUGCAAUAAUGAAUCUCUGCCACACACUGCUGCCUCAGGACUGACACUGACUGUCAAGGACAAUGUUAGAAAAACUUUUUUUAUUUUCCUACCCAAAGCCAUCAUUUGGAUUUUUUUCUCUCUUUUUUUUUUUCCUCCUCUAAGUAAAUCUGUUAGUGCUCGAAUAAAUGUUGGUAAAUGUGUUUUACUGUGGCUGUUGCACCAUAGAGAUCAUUUGCAGGGAUCUGUGAGUAACUCAGUGUUUGGUCAAAUUAGUUUUUAAUGCUCCCUGCAUUUAAUGGUUUAAUAUUUGUUCAUUUUAUCCCUGUUCUACAACAAUAUCCAUUACAGUGUUGUGUAAUGUUCAGCACAGAGAUUGAUAUGGGAUAGGGAUAUUAACUUGGAUGUUUCCCGCUUCAUUAAUCUUGUCUAAUCUUGCAGCUGUCACACGAAACGCUAAGGUGCACAAGCUGGAUUCAUUCCUUUAAACCACAAAGGCAUACCCGCAAUCACUUCUCCUUCUACCCCCUAUUUGGUUUGCAGUUCACAAAGUGCCACAAUGUAUCAACAAAAAUGCCACCUUAGUUAGCGCCAUGUCAGUGUAUUGUAUCUACUGUAGUGAGAAAGCAGGCCGAGGAUGAGAAAAGCUUGUGUGAAGAAAGAGAGCUGUUGUUUAGCAGCCCUCCUCCUGACCUUGUCUGUCUAUUGUGUCCAUGCUGUACAACAUUUCCUUUUUACUGAGUGCAAAACAGGUCAUUGUAUUGCAGUGUUGGCUGUUUGUUUGCAGUACAGCCCCAUUUCCAAAAAGAAAAAAGGGUAGACUGCUUCAUAAAAUGUAAAUAAAAGUACAAUAGUGAUUUGGAAAUGAUUUACAUGUAAUUUAAAAUAUUAUCUAUUAUAUUACUGGGUGACAGACCGGGACCGCAGAAAGGCCAGUUUAGCACACAGGCAUAAGUACUACAGAGCCUUGCUGUGGUAAUACAUGCUAAAAUAAUCACAGCCUUUAAUGGGGGAGGGGAAAAACAAACAAAAAACUGAGUGGCACAAUAGGUUUCUCCAAAAUUGUAUUGUUUAUUAUUAAUGCUGCCUUGACCAUUGAAAUGCCUUGUGUUAUACAACUCUUUUGUUGCCUGUUCAUGUUAUAGACUUAUAGAGAACUCUGAAACAGGUGCACACAAGCAGAGCAGGUUCAUCAGGCCUGCUCUUAGAACGAGAAGGGCGUGGUGCAGUAAUCAACACCAAGCCAACGGCAUGCUCUUUAAACACCAACUUCUCAUGUGGAAACAAGUUUAUAAGCUGUUAUCUGUCAUUUACACCCUGCACCUGCCUUCUGUCUUUCUAUAGCACACCUGCUGUUUAAACAUGGAGUGCUUGAUUAGUGACUACAUGGGCGUAUAUGUUCCCACCGCCACUAAGAAACUGCAGUGCACAGUUUGUACUUCCAGUAUUUCGUCCAUAGAAGUUCUGCCUUGUGGGACAAAAAACAUUGCAUGCACAAUAUCUGACAAUUUUACAAUGCAGAAAAUGGAAAUCAUGGGUUCAAGUUUUCGAAAUUUAGUUGAAUCAUGCAAUUGCAAAUUGGAAAUAUUAGAGUCACUGGAAUAACAGGAAAACUAUUUGGGUCCUGGUAAGUUUUCUUUUGAAAAACUGUAUUUUGUGACUUAUUCAUUAAGAGAAACUGAUUCUCAGGAAAGAAAUUCAUACUGGAUCAGCCAUAACCUCAGUGGAAAGAAAUCUGUGAUGCAACAGUUGGAAACAGUGGAAAUCCACAAACAGCAUGCAGUUAGUUCCAUAGAAGAGUCAAGGGUUACAGUCAUUGUGUGCAACAUAUUUAAUUUAAUUUUAAUUUCAAUUAAGUUUUAUUUAUAUAGUGUCAAAUCACAACAGUCAUCUCAAGGCAGUCUAUAUCGUCUGGUAAAGACCAGACAAUAAUAGAGCGAGAACCCCAACAAUCAAACCACCCACUAUGAGCAAGCACUUAGCAACAGUGAGAAGGAAAAGCUCCCUUUUAACAGGAAGAAACAUCGGGCAAAAUCAGGCUUAUUUAUACUGUUGGAAAGUCUGCUUCUUUUCCCUUAAGUGGGGCCCUGUUUGUAAAGAAAAUGCAUUUGUGGGUUGAGCAUUAGAGUUGAGUAUGUGAGUUGUGCCCAUGAAAAACUUGCCAGAUCUGGUCUCGGACUGAACUCUAUUAUCCAAGAUGACAACAAUUGCCCCCACAGAGCGGGGUUUAUCAAAAAACAGCUAGAGAGUUUGGGAGUGGAAAAGAUGGAAUGGCCUGUCUGCAGUUCUGAUCUCAACCCCACUGAACACUUGUGGGAUCAGCUUGGGUGUACUGUUCGUGCCAGAGUGACCAACACAACCACACUGUCUGACUUGCGACAAAUAUUGGUUGACAAAUGUUAUAACAUCCCACAGCAGUGUGUGACCCAAGCUGGUAACCAACAUGAGAUGAGGAACCAGGUUGUUGUGGAUGUGUAUGAAUCUUCCACAUGCUAUUGAGGUCCCUGUUUGAAUAAAUUGUUAAAUUGGCAAUAUGUCUUGUUUAUUCAGACUUCAUCCAAUUCAAUAAAUGACACCAAACAAGAGUCUAUAGCAGAGUAAGCUGUUUAGCAUUGGCUGAGAUGAUUUGGCAAGUUUUUCAUCAACUUAACCCACACAUUGAACUCUGCUCCUCAACCCACAAAUGCAUUUUUUUUUUUACAAAUGUGACAUUAUUUGAAGGAAAUAACAAGCUUUCCAGUGGUGUACAAUUUAUUGCCAAGAAGCAUUGUUACAACUAAGAAAUAAUCGACCAAACACACAUUUCUUUACUUUUUAUGCCAAGUUUAAAUAUAUGACAUACAUAACAUAUGUCACCGAGUAAUGCAAGAUAUAACAUUACAGAUAUAACAGUUUUCCAGUUAUAUUUACAGAAAUGCGUUCUGGGCUAGCUUCACUAACACACCUAUUUUCAG